AAGUUGAAAAAUCCCGACACGCAGGUUUGUACUUGCACCACAUAUGAAAAUUAGAGGCCAGAACGCCCAUUCCUGUGAGUUGUACUAAUGAGAAUUUGAAUGCAUAUUUGCAUAAGAAUUAAACAAAAAGUAGCAGAGCUGGAAUUCCUAAUGAGGAAACAUAGUCAUAAACAAUUUUCUAUUAUCAUAGCUGAAAGUAUGUGCAGCAGAGAAUCUUGAUUUGUUCGGUUUCUCUAUACUUGGACAUACCAUGUAGCAUUCAAUUUUUGUCAUGGCUUAUGAGGAACAUUCUUAGAUUUUAUAUAUUCUUCAAAGUCAUAGUGGAUAAAAAUUUCACAUAUCUCAAGCGAAAUGGAAUCACUUGGUUUUUUUAUUUUCACAAGAUUAUGUUUUUUCAAUAUUGCUCUGUACCUGGUUACUGUAUGAUUAUGUCAACCAUAAGUUGAUUAUGUCCUAUUAUUUGUUAUUUUCCCUUUUAGCAUGCAUAAUAUGCUGCAGUUGUCCUGAAAACACCAUUGAUUCAGAGUGCUUUUGACUCUUCUAGCAGAAAAAAGCCUUAUUAUUAUUAUUAUUAUUAU
rnacentral:misc_RNA from 1 species